UGGGAUAUGGUGUAAUGGUAACACACUAGACUUUGACUCUGGUAUUGUAGGUUCGAGCCCUGCUAUCCCAGCCA
rnacentral:tRNA from 1 species